rnacentral:rRNA from 1 species
GACGAACGCUGGCGGCGUGCUUAACACAUGCAAGUCGAACGCUGAAGCUCAGCUUUUGUUGGGUGGAUGAGUGGCGAACGGGUGAGUAACACGUGAGUAACCUGCCUCCUUCUUUGGGAUAACGCCCGGAAACGGGUGCUAAUACUGGAUAUUCACUGGUCUUCGCAUGGGGGUUGGUGGAAAGGGUUUUUCUGGUGGGGGAUGGGCUCGCGGCCUAUCAGCUUGUUGGUGGGGUGAUGGCCUACCAAGGCUUCGACGGGUAGCCGGCCUGAGAGGGUGACCGGUCACAUUGGGACUGAGAUACGGCCCAGACUCCUACGGGAGGCAGCAGUGGGGAAUAUUGCACAAUGGGCGCAAGCCUGAUGCAGCGACGCCGCGUGAGGGAUGGAGGCCUUCGGGUUGUGAACCUCUUUCGCUCAUGGUCAAGCCGCAACAAUGGUCGUGGUGAGGGUAGUGGGUAAAGAAGCGCCGGCUAACUACGU